rnacentral:ribozyme from 1 species
AAUAACCUACACUCUGCUAACGGGGUAGGAUCCGAAACCUGUGGAAGGUCACAGGUUCGGAUCAUACCCAACUCCUAUUCCGUGACGUUCUCGUUGUGCAGAAAAUAUUGACGACAGGCAUGCGUGGCAGAUUCUUUAAUAUCCGCCUCAUGAAUAUUCACAACCCCUACCGAAGACAAAGAUUGAGAGGA